UGGGGAAUUUUGGACAAUGGGCGAAAGCCUGAUCCAGCAAUGCCGCGUGUGUGAAGAAGGCCUUCGGGUUGUAAAGCACUUUUGUCCGGAAAGAAAUCCUUGGCUCUAAUACAGUCGGGGGAUGACGGUACCGGAAGAAUAAGCACCGGCUAACUACGUGCCAGCAGCCGCGGUAAUACGUAGGGUGCAAGCGUUAAUCGGAAUUACUGGGCGUAAAGCGUGCGCAGGCGGUUUGCUAAGACCGAUGUGAAAUCCCCGGGCUCAACCUGGGAACUGCAUUGGUGACUGGCAGGCUAGAGUAUGGCAGAGGGGGGUAGAAUUCCACGUGUAGCAGUGAAAUGCGUAGAGAUGUGGAGGAAUACCGAUGGCGAAGGCAGCCCCCUGGGCCAAUACUGACGCUCAUGCAGCGAAAGCGUGGGGAGCAAACAGGAUUAGAUACCCUGGUAGUCCACGCCCUAAAACGAUGUCAACUAGUUGUUGGGGAUUCAUUUCCUUAGUAACGUAGCUAACGCGUGAAGUUGACCGCCUGGGGAGUACGGUCGCAAGAUUAAAACUCAAAUGAAUUGACGGGGUCAUAGCUGUUUCCU
rnacentral:rRNA from 1 species